rnacentral:rRNA from 1 species
GUGAGGAAUUUUCCGCAAUGGGCGAAAGCCUGACGGAGCAAUGCCGCGUGAAGGAUGAAGGCCUAUGGGUUGUAAACUUCUUUUCUUAGUGAAGAAUAUUGACGGUAUCUGAGGAAUAAGCAUCGGCUAACUCUGUGCCAGCAGCCGCGGUAAGACAGAGGAUGCAAGCGUUAUCCGGAAUGAUUGGGCGUAAAGCGUCUGUAGGUGGCUUCAAAAGUCUCCUGUCAAAGAUCAGGGCUUAACCCUGGGCCGGCAGGAGAAACUCUGAGGCUAGAGUUUGGUAGGGGCAGAGGGAAUUCCCGGUGGAGCGGUGAAAUGCGUAGAGAUCGGGAGGAACACCAAAGGCGAAAGCACUCUGCUGGGCCACAACUGACACUGAGAGACGAAAGCGAGGGGAGCAAAAGGGAUUAGAAACCCUGGUAGUCC